rnacentral:tRNA from 1 species
UUUCACCCUAGUUUAAUAAGAAUGCACGGUUUGCACUUGUGCGGUGGGGUUAACCCCGGGGGAAAA